ensembl:Y_RNA Y_RNA Y RNA
GGCUGGUCUGAGGGUAGCAAGAUAUCUGAGUUGAUGGUUCACAGCCAGUUACAGGCGAACUCCUCGCUCUACUCCUUCACCCCUUUUCACUACUGUACUUGACUAGUCUCUU